rnacentral:rRNA from 1 species
CCUACGGGUGGCAGCAGUGAGGAAUAUUGGUCAAUGGGCGUAAGCCUGAACCAGCCAAGUCGCGUGAGGGAUGAAGGUUCUAUGGAUCGUAAACCUCUUUUAUAAGGGAAUAAAGUGUGGGACGUGUCCUGUUUUGUAUGUACCUUAUGAAUAAGGAUCGGCUAACUCCGUGCCAGCAGCCGCGGUAAUACGGAGGAUCCGAGAGUUCUCCGGAGUUAUUGGGUUUAAAGGGUGCGUAGGCGGCCUUUGAAGUCUGCGGGGAAAGUCUGUGGCUCAACCAUAGAAUUGACGUUGAAACUGGGAGGAUUGAGUAUGUUUGAGGCAGGCGGAAUGCGUGGUGUAGCGGUGAAAUGCUUAGAUAUCACGCAGAACCCCGAUUGCGAAGGCAGCCUGCCAAGCCAUGACUGACGCUGAUGCACGAAAGCGUGGGGAUCAAACAGGAUUAGAUACCCCAGUAGUC